rnacentral:rRNA from 1 species
GAUGAACGCUGGCGGCGUGCCUAAUACAUGCAAGUCGAGCGAACAGAUAAGGAGCUUGCUCCUUUGACGUUAGCGGCGGACGGGUGAGUAACACGUGGGUAACCUACCUAUAAGACUGGGAUAACUUCGGGAAACCGGAGCUAAUACCGGAUAAUAUUUCGAACCGCAUGGUUCGAUAGUGAAAGAUGGUUUUGCUGUCACUUAUAGAUGGACCCGCGCCGUAUUAGCUAGUUGGUAAGGUAACGGCUUACCAAGGCGACGAUACGUAGCCGACCUGAGAGGGUGAUCGGCCACACUGGAACUGAGACACGGUCCAGACUCCUACGGGAGGCAGCAGUGGGGAAUCUUCCGCAAUGGGCGAAAGCCUGACGGAGCAACGCCGCGUGAGUGAUGAAGGUCUUCGGAUCGUAAAACUCUGUUAUUAGGGAAGAACAGACGUGUAAGUAACUGUGCACGUCUUGACGGUACCUAAUCAGAAAGCCACGGCUAACUACGUG